rnacentral:rRNA from 1 species
GGGGAUCUGCCCGAUAGAGGGGGAUAACCACUGGAAACGGUGGCUAAUACCGCAUAACGUCGCAAGACCAAAGAGGGGGACCUUCGGGCCUCUCACUAUCGGAUGAACCCAGAUGGGAUUAGCUAGUAGGCGGGGUAAUGGCCCACCUAGGCGACGAUCCCUAGCUGGUCUGAGAGGAUGACCAGCCACACUGGAACUGAGACACGGUCCGGACUCCUACGGGAGGCAGCAGUGGGGAAUAUUGCACAAUGGGCGCAAGCCUGAUGCAGCCAUGCCGCGUGUAUGAAGAAGGCCUUCGGGUUGUAAAGUACUUUCAGCGGGGAGGAAGGCGAUGCGGUUAAUAACCGCGUCGAUUGACGUUACCCGCAGAAGAAGCACCGGCUAACUCCGUGCCAGCAGCCGCGGUAAUACGGAGGGUGCAAGCGUUAAUCGGAAUUACUGGGCGUAAAGCGCACGCAGGCGGUCUGUUAAGUCAGAUGUGAAAUCCCCGGGCUUAACCUGGGAACUGCAUUUGAAACUGGCAGGCUUGAGUCUUGUAGAGGGGGGUAGAAUUCCAGGU